UACGUAGGGUGCGAGCGUUAAUCGGAAUUACUGGGCGUAAAGAGUGCGUAGGCGGUUGCUGAAGUCCGCUGUGAAAGCCCCGGGCUCAACCUGGGAAUGGCAGUGGAAACUAGGCGACUUGAAUCUGGCAGAGGGGGGUGGAAUUCCGCGUGUAGCAGUGAAAUGCGUAGAGAUGCGGAGGAACACCGAUGGCGAAGGCAGCCCCCUGGGCUAACACUGACGCUCAGGCACGAAAGCGUGGGGAGCAAACAGG
rnacentral:rRNA from 1 species